rnacentral:rRNA from 1 species
UACGUAGGGUGCGAGCGUUGUCCGGAAUUACUGGGCGUAAAGAGCUCGUAGGUGGUUUGUCGCGUUGUUCGUGAAAACUCACAGCUUAACUGUGGGCGUGCGGGCGAUACGGGCAGACUGGAGUACUGCAGGGGAGACUGGAAUUCCUGGUGUAGCGGUGGAAUGCGCAGAUAUCAGGAAGAACACCAAUGGCGAAGGCAGCUCUCUGGGACGGUACUGACGCUGAGACGCGAAAGCGUGGGGAGCGAACAGG